UACGGAGGGUGCAAGCGUUGUCCGGAUUUAUUGGGUUUAAAGGGUGCGUAGGCGGUGCUUUAAGUCUGGGGUGAAAGCCCGUUGCUCAACAACGGAACUGCCCUGGAAACUGGAGCACUUGAGUACAGACGAGGGUGGCGGAAUGGAUACUGUAGCGGUGAAAUGCAUAGAUAGUAUCCAGAACCCCGAUUGCGAAGCAGA
rnacentral:rRNA from 1 species